UACGUAGGGGGCAAGCGUUGUCCGGAAUUAUUGGGCGUAAAGCGCGCGCAGGCGGUUUCUUAAGUCUGGUGUGAAAGCCCGCAGCUCAACUGCGGAGGGCCACUGGAAACUGGGAAGCUUGAGUGUAGGAGAGGAGAGCGGAAUUCCACGUGUAGCGGUGAAAUGCGUAGAUAUGUGGAGGAACACCCGUGGCGAAAGCGGCUCUCUGGCCUAUAACUGACGCUGAGGCGCGAAAGCGUGGGGAGCGAACAGG
rnacentral:rRNA from 1 species